GACGAACGCUGGCGGCGUGCUUAACACAUGCAAGUCGAACGGUAAGGCCCUCCGGGGUACACGAGUGGCGAACGGGUGAGUAACACGUGGGUGAUCUGCCCUGCACUUCGGGAUAAGCCUGGGAAACUGGGUCUAAUACCGGAUAGGACCACUGCCUGCAUGGGUGGUGGUGGAAAGCUUUUGCGGUGUGGGAUGGGCCCGCGGCCUAUCAGCUUGUUGGUGGGGUGAUGGCCUACCAAGGCGACGACUGGUAGCCGGCCUGAGAGGGUGACCGGCCACACUGGGACUGAGAUACGGCCCAGACUCCUACGGGAGGCAGCAGUGGGGAAUAUUGCACAAUGGGCGCAAGCCUGAUGCAGCGACGCCGCGUGAGGGAUGACGGCCUUCGGGUUGUAAACCUCUUUCAGCACCGACGAAGCGCAAGUGACGGUAGGUGCAGAAGAAGGACCGGCCAACUACGUGCCAGCCGCCGCAGUAA
rnacentral:rRNA from 1 species